rfam:Enterococcus cecorum DSM 20682 = ATCC 43198 genomic scaffold adfme-supercont2.1, whole genome shotgun sequence.
GCAGAUGUGGUGGAAUUGGCAGACACGCACGCUUGAGGGGCGUGUGAGCACAGCUCGUGUGGGUUCGAGUCCCAUCGUCUGCA